ACGAGUUUGAUCAUGGCUCAGGAUGAACGCUAGCGGCAGGCCUAACACAUGCAAGUCGAGGGGUAGAGUUCUUCGGGACUUGAGACCGGCGCACGGGUGCGUAACGCGUAUGCAAUCUACCUUAUACAGGGGAAUAGCCCAGAGAAAUUUGGAUUAAUGCCCCAUAGUGUUAUCGAAUCGCAUGGUUUGAUAACUAAAGUUCCAACGGUAUAAGAUGAGCAUGCGUCCCAUUAGUUAGUUGGUAAGGUAACGGCUUACCAAGACAAUGAUGGGUAGGGGUCCUGAGAGGGAGAUCCCCCCACACUGGUACUGAGACACGGACCAGACUCCUACGGGAGGCAGCAGUGAGGAAUAUUGGUCAAUGGGCGCAAGCCUGAACCAGCCAUGCCGCGUGCAGGAAGACGGUCCUAUGGAUUGUAAACUGCUUUUAUACAGGAAGAAACCCUCCCACGUGUGGGAGCUUGACGGUACUGUAGGAAUAAGGAUCGGCUAACUCCGUG
rnacentral:rRNA from 1 species